AUGAAAUGUUUGUGUGUGUGUAUGUGUGUGUGUGUAUGUUCGUGCGUGCGUAAGUGCGUGAGUAGAGGCUGCAAUGCCUGUGUGAGUGAAUGGAUAGGAAACAUGAUAUUGGUGCAUGUUUGUGUGUGUGUGACUGUGAGCGUCAGAGUGGGGGUAUCUUGGGAGACAAUAGCCAGGAUCAAGGUUUCUAUGUGUCUUGCUGGAUGUCUAUGACAGGCCCAUCCAGGUCACUGGGGACAGAUUCAUCAUAGCUAAAUUUUUUAUUAAUUUUUUUAUUUCACCUUUAUCCAGGUUGGCCAGUUGAGAACAAAUUCCCAUUUACAACUGCGACCUGGCUAUGAUGAAGCAAAGCAGCGCGACACAAACAACAUCACAGAGUUACACAUGGAAAAAACAAACGUACAGUCAAUAACACAAUAGAAAAAAAUCUAUAUACAGUGUGUGCAAAUGAGGUAAGGCAAUAAAUAGGCCGUAAUGGCGAAGUAAUUACAAUUUAGCAGUUAAACACUAGUGUGAUGGAUGUGCAGAAGAUGAAUGUGCAAGUUUUGGGACACUGUAAAAUCCAUGGGGAACAAGAGCACCUCCACUCAGCUGCUCACUGAGCUGAGGCUAGGUAACACGGUCACCACCGAUAAAUCCAUGAUAAUCUAAAAUUUCAAUAAGCACUUCUCUACGGCUGGCCAUGCUUUCCUCCUGGCUACCCCAGCCCCGGCCAACAGCUCCGCCCCCCACGCAGCUACUUGCCCGAGCCUCCCCAGUAUUUCCUUCACCCAAAACCAGAUUGCAGAAGUUCUGAAAGCACUGCAAAAUCUGCACCCGUACAAAUCAGCUGGACUGACAAUCUGGACCCUCUCUCUCUAAAACUAUCGCUCAGUACCUUGAGCGUGGCUGAGGUGCACCCGUGACCAGCUCGGAAACCGUAAUGCACAACGGAGAAGAUACGGUGGGAUUCGAAAUGGUCAGUGAUCUGUUUAUUUAACUUGGCUUUUGAAGACUUUAUAGAAGCAGGGAAGGAUGGAUAUAGGUCUAUAACAGUUUGGGUCUA
rnacentral:lncRNA from 13 species